ACGUCGGUGGCUCAGGGUUUAAGCAUUUGACUUGUAAUCAGCAGGUCCUGGGUUCGAAUCCCGGCAUGUA
rnacentral:tRNA from 1 species